AUGGGUAUAAGAGACAGGUGAGUCAUCGAAUCUUUGAACGCACAUUGCGCCCCUCGGUAUUCCGGGGGGCAUGCCUGUUCGAGCGUCAUUACACCACUCAAGCCUCGCUUGGUCUUGGGCGCCGCGGUCCGCCGCGCGCCCCAAUGUCUCCGGCUGAGCCGUCCGUCUCUAAGCGUUGUGAUAAACUAUUCGCUUGCGAGGCCGGGCUGGCUUGUUCGCCGUAAAACCCCCCAUUUUUACAGGUUGACCUCGGAUCAGGUAGGGAUACCCGCUGAACUUAAGCAUAUCAAUAAGCGGAGG
rnacentral:misc_RNA from 1 species